UUCCGGUUGAUCCUGCCGGACCUGACUGCUAUCGGAUUGAUACUAAGCCAUGCGAGUCAUUGUAGCAAUACAAGGCAGACGGCUCAGUAACGCGUAGUCAACCUAACCUAUGGACGGGAAUAACCUCGGGAAACUGAGAAUAAUGCCCGAUAGAACACUAUACCUGGAAUGGUUUGUGUUCCAAAUGAUUUAUCGCCGUAGGAUGGGACUGCGGCCUAUCAGUUUGUUGGUGAGGUAAUGGCCCACCAAGACUAUUACAGGUACGGGCUCUGAGAGGAGUAGCCCGGAGAUGGGUACUGAGACACGGACCCAGGCCCUAUGGGGCGCAGCAGGCGAGAAAACUUUGCAAUGUGCGAAAGCACGACAAGGUUAAUCCGAGUGGUUUCUGCUAAAGGAACCUUUUGUCGGUCCUAGAAACACCGAUGAAUAAGGGGUGGGCAAGUUCUGGUGUCAGCCGCCGCGGUAAAACCAGCACCUCAAGUGGUCAGGAUGAUUAUUGGGCCUAAAGCAUCCGUAGCCGGCUCUGUAAGUUUUCGGUUAAAUCUGUACGCUCAACGUACAGGCUGCCGGGAAUACUGCAGAGCUAGGGAGUGGGAGAGGUAGACGGUACUCGGUAGGAAGGGGUAAAAUCCUUUGAUCUAUUGAUGACCACCUGUGGCGAAGGCGGUCUACCAGAACACGUCCGACGGUGAGGGAUGAAAGCUGGGGGAGCAAACCGGAUUAGAUACCCGGGUAGUCCCAGCUGUAAACUAUGCAAACUCAGUGAUGCAUUGGCUUGUGGCCAAUGCAGUGCUGCAGGGAAGCCGUUAAGUUUGCCGCCUGGGAAGUACGUACGCAAGUAUGAAACUUAAAGGAAUUGGCGGGGGAGCACCACAAGGGGUGAAGCCUGCGGUUCAAUUGGAGUCAACGCCAGAAAUCUUACCCGGAGAGACAGCAGAAUGAAGGUCAAGCUGAAGACUUUACCAGACAAGCUGAGAGGUGGUGCAUGGCCGUCGCCAGCUCGUGCCAUGAGAUGUCCUGUUAAGUCAGGUAACGAGCGAGAUCCCUGCCUCUAGUUGCCACCAUUACUCUCAGGAGUAGUGGGGCGAAUUAGCGGGACCGCCGCAGUUAAUGCGGAGGAAGGAAGGGGCCACGGCAGGUCAGUAUGCCCCGAAACU
rnacentral:rRNA from 1 species